GUGGGAGGGGGCUUGCUCCCGAUGGCGGUAGUUCAGUCACUUCAUGUAUUGACUGACAUGCUGCUAUCGGGAGCAAGCCCCCUCCCAC
rnacentral:misc_RNA from 1 species